rnacentral:rRNA from 1 species
GGGUUGUGAGGUUAAGCGACUAAGCGUACACGGUGGAUGCCCUGGCAGUCAGAGGCGAUGAAGGACGUGCUAAUCUGCGAUAAGCGUCGGUAAGGUGAUAUGAACCGUUAUAACCGGCGAUUUCCGAAUGGGGAAACCCAGUGUGUUUCGACACACUAUCAUUAACUGAAUCCAUAGGUUAAUGAGGCGAACCGGGGGAACUGAAACAUCUAAGUACCCCGAGGAAAAGAAAUCAACCGAGAUUCCCCCAGUAGCGGCGAGCGAACGGGGAGGAGCCCAGAGCCUGAAUCAGUGUGUGUGUUAGUGGAAGCGUCUGGAAAGGCGCGCGAUACAGGGUGACAGCCCCGUACACAAAAAUGCACAUGCUGUGAGCUCGAUGAGUAGGGCGGGACACGUGGUAUCCUGUCUGAAUAUGGGGGGACCAUCCUCCAAGGCUAAAUACUCCUGACUGACCGAUAGUGAACCAGUACCGUGAGGGAAAGGCGAAAAGAACCCCGGCGAGGGGAGUGAAAAAGAACCUGAAACCGUGUACGUACAAGCAGUGGGAGCAUGCUUAGGCGUGUGACUGCGUACCUUUUGUAUAAUGGGUCAGCGACUUAUAUUCUGUAGCAAGGUUAACCGAAUAGGGGAGCCGAAGGGAAACCGAGUCUUAACUGGGCGUUAAGUUGCAGGGUAUAGACCCGAAACCCGGUGAUCUAGCCAUGGGCAGGUUGAAGGUUGGGUAACACUAACUGGAGGACCGAACCGACUAAUGUUGAAAAAUUAGCGGAUGACUUGUGGCUGGGGGUGAAAGGCCAAUCAAACCGGGAGAUAGCUGGUUCUCCCCGAAAGCUAUUUAGGUAGCGCCUCGUGAACUCAUCUCCGGGGGUAGAGCACUGUUUCGGCAAGGGGGUCAUCCCGACUUACCAACCCGAUGCAAACUGCGAAUACCGGAGAAUGUUAUCACGGGAGACACACGGCGGGUGCUAACGUCCGUCGUGAAGAGGGAAACAACCCAGACCGCCAGCUAAGGUCCCAAAGUCAUGGUUAAGUGGGAAACGAUGUGGGAAGGCCCAGACAGCCAGGAUGUUGGCUUAGAAGCAGCCAUCAUUUAAAGAAAGCGUAAUAGCUCACUGGUCGAGUCGGCCUGCGCGGAAGAUGUAACGGGGCUAAACCAUGCACCGAAGCUGCGGCAGCGACGCUGAUG